rnacentral:rRNA from 1 species
AACGAACGCUGGCGGCAUGCCUAACACAUGCAAGUCGAACGAGACCUUCGGGUCUAGUGGCGCACGGGUGCGUAACGCGUGGGAAUCUGCCCUUGGGUUCGGGAUAACAGUUGGAAACGACUGCUAAUACCGGAUGAUGUCUUCGGACCAAAGAUUUAUCGCCCAGGGAUGAGCCCGCGUCGGAUUAGCUAGUUGGUGAGGUAAAGGCUCACCAAGGCGACGAUCCGUAGCUGGUCUGAGAGGAUGAUCAGCCACACUGGGACUGAGACACGGCCCAGACUCCUACGGGAGGCAGCAGUGGGGAAUAUUGGACAAUGGGCGAAAGCCUGAUCCAGCAAUGCCGCGUGAGUGAUGAAGGCCUUAGGGUUGUAAAGCUCUUUUACCCGGGAUGAUAAUGACAGUACCGGGAGAAUAAGCCCCGGCUAACUCCGUGCCAGCCGCCGCCGUAAUAC